UACAGAGGGGGCCAGCGUUAUUCGGAAUUAUUGGGCGUAAAGGGUGCGUAGGCGGCGCGGUAAGUCGGGUGUGAAAUCUCGGAGCUUAACUCCGAAACUGCAUUCGAUACUGCCGUGCUUGAGGACUGGAGAGGAGACUGGAAUUUACGGUGUAGCGGUGAAAUGCGUAGAUAUCGUAAGGAAGACCAGUGGCGAAGGCGGGUCUCUGGACAGUUCCUGACGCUGAGGCACGAAGGCCAGGGGAGCAAACAGG
rnacentral:rRNA from 1 species